AUUGAACGCUGGCGGCAUGCCUUGCACAUGCAAGUCGAACGGCAGCACGGGUGCUUGCACCCGGUGGCGAGUGGCGAACGGGUGAGUAAUACAUCGGAACAUGUCCUGUAGUGGGGGAUAGCCCGGCGAAAGCCGGAUUAAUACCGCAUACGAUCUACGGAUGAAAGCGGGGGACCUUCGGGCCUCGCGCUAUAGGGUUGGCCGAUGGCUGAUUAGCUAGUUGGUGGGGUAAAGGCCUACCAAGGCGACGAUCAGUAGCUGGUCUGAGAGGACGACCAGCCACACUGGGACUGAGACACGGCCCAGACUCCUACGGGAGGCAGCAGUGGGGAAUUUUGGACAAUGGGCGAAAGCCUGAUCCAGCAAUGCCGCGUGUGUGAAGAAGGCCUUCGGGUUGUAAAGCACUUUUGUCCGGAAAGAAAUCCUUGGCCCUAAUACGGUCGGGGGAUGACGGUACCGGAAGAAUAAGCACCGGCUAACUACGUG
rnacentral:rRNA from 1 species